AACGAACGCUGGCGGCAGGCUUAACACAUGCAAGUCGAACGCCCCGCAAGGGGAGUGGCAGACGGGUGAGUAACGCGUGGGAACAUACCCUUUUCUACGGAAUAGCUCUGGGAAACUGGAAUUAAUACCGUAUACGCCCUACGGGGGAAAGAUUUAUCGGGGAAGGAUUGGCCCGCGUUGGAUUAGCUAGUUGGUGGGGUAAAGGCCUACCAAGGCGACGAUCCAUAGCUGGUCUGAGAGGAUGAUCAGCCACAUUGGGACUGAGACACGGCCCAAACUCCUACGGGAGGCAGCAGUGGGGAAUAUUGGACAAUGGGCGCAAGCCUGAUCCAGCCAUGCCGCGUGAGUGAUGAAGGCCUUAGGGUUGUAAAGCUCUUUCACCGAUGAAGAUAAUGACGGUAGUCGGAGAAGAAGCCCCGGCUAACUACGUG
rnacentral:rRNA from 1 species